GUCUGGUGUCUCUAGCGUGGUGGUCCCACUCCGACCCCAUCCCGAACUCGGUAGUGAAACACCUCAGCGGCAACGAUACUUGUGGGGUAGCCCACUGGAACAAUAGCUCGAUGCCAGACU
rnacentral:rRNA from 5 species